UGAUCAUGGCUCAGAUUGAACGCUGGCGGCAGGCUUAACACAUGCAAGUCGAGCGGAGAGAGGUAGCUUGCUACUGAUCUUAGCGGCGGACGGGUGAGUAAUACUUAGGAAUCUGGCUAUUAGUGGGGGACAACAUUUCGAAAGGGAUGCUAAUACCGCAUACGUCCUACGGGAGAAAGCAGGGGAUCUUCGGACCUUGCGCUAAUAGAUGAGCCUAAGUCGGAUUAGCUAGUUGGUGGGGUAAAGGCCUACCAAGGCGACGAUCUGUAGCGGGUCUGAGAGGAUGAUCCGCCACACUGGGACUGAGACACGGCCCAGACUCCUACGGGAGGCAGCAGUGGGGAAUAUUGGACAAUGGGGGGAACCCUGAUCCAGCCAUGCCGCGUGUGUGAAGAAGGCCUUAUGGUUGUAAAGCACUUUAAGCGAGGAGGAGGGUACUGGUAUUAACACCACCAGGUACUGGACGUUACUCGCAGAAUAAGUACCGGCUAACUCUGUGCCAGCAGCCGCGGUAAUACAGAGGGUGCGAGCGUUAAUCGGAUUUACUGGGCGUAAAGCGUGCGUAGGCGGCUAAUUGAGUCCG
rnacentral:rRNA from 1 species